UAAGCCUGUGAAGGUGUGUCGUGAGGCAUGCUGGAGGUAUCAGAAGUGCGAAUGCUGACAUAAGUAACGAUAAAGCGGGUGAAAAGCCCGCUCGCCGGAAGACCAAGGGUUCCUGUCCAACGUUAAUCGGGGCAGGGUGAGUCGACCCCUAAGGCGAGGCCGAAAGGCGUAGUCGAUGGGAAACGGGUUAAUAUUCCCGUACUUGGUGUUACUGCGAAGGGGGGACGGAGAAGGCUAUGUUGGCCGGGCGACGGUUGUCCCGGUUUAAGCGUGUAGGUGUGUGUUCCAGGUAAAUCCGGUUCACUUUAACACUGAGGCGUGACGACGAGGCACUACGGUGCUGAAGCAACAAAUGCCCUGCUUCCAGGAAAAGCCUCUAAGCAUCAGGUAACAUCAAAUCGUACCCCAAACCGACACAGGUGGUCAGGUAGAGAAUACCAAGGCGCUUGAGAGAACUCGGGUGAAGGAACUAGGCAAAAUGGUGCCGUAACUUCGGGAGAAGGCACGCUGACACGUAGGUGAAGUGAUUUACUCAUGGAGCUGAAGUCAGUCGAAGAUACCAGCUGGCUGCAACUGUUUAUUAAAAACACAGCACUGUGCAAACACGAAAGUGGACGUAUACGGUGUGACGCCUGCC
rnacentral:rRNA from 1 species